AUGCCCACGAGUUUAUUGCAGUGGACAGCCUUGUCUUCCAGUUGGUCAGUCUGAUAUUCCACGCUCAAGUACUGUAAAAAUUUAUUGUCCAAAAUGUGAAGAUAUCUACUAUCCACGAUCAAAAUACCAAGGCAAUAUUGACGGAGCUUACAUUGGGACAACAUUUCCUCACCUCUUUUUUAUGACUUAUGGGCAUCUCAAGCCGCAAGAGCAAUCGCAGAAUUAUGUUCCCAGGGUAUUCGGUUUUAAACUCCACAGGACGACAUUGAAGGCCCUCUGUGAAAUUUGAUGAGAUUGCGUAGUUUCUGCCAGGAAAUGGUUCUUACCUGUCAUUUGUACAAUUCGUCAUGGUAGAAUUGGGUAAUGUAGAGUUAAUGUCCACAAUUGUUUUCAUUGAUGUAAAAGUAACUGUGGCCAAUCUUUCAAUUAAAAUUUGUCCCCCAAAUCUCUAUUGUAAUCUUAUUUUUUUUCCAGUUUUAUUGACGUGCUUCCUCAUGUAA